AAAAAACAUAGAUCAAAGCUGCUGUAUCGGCAUCAAAAAAGGCCACCUGAUCCUCUUCAUAGUCCAGAAAAACCUGGAUCCUCCGGGGCCAGCUGUUCAGGGACAGGGUGGUCACAGGAUUCAUGCUUUCCUCAGAAAAUGCAUUCAGCCUUUUUUCUAGAUCGAGAUGAUGCUCCAUUGGCUGCUGGAUCUUCUGAUGUUCACACCUGGAAGGAGAUAAAGGCUGAAACCUACAUUCUGGAACAAGAUUACUACGAAAUACCAGACCACAGCCACACAGCCUGGAAAACCCACCACCACCAGUUGAAUCCGGCCGUGAAAGCCUUCGACAAUAUGUUCGACAUGUUUCCCAAUGCUGAACCUGUUGCCCAGGUUUAGUACAGUAGCGGAUAAUUGCCUACUUCAGGUUGCCAUCAAAAGAUGGCAAUAUAAGAGAUGACCCUCCAAAGAUCUUGAGGGAUAUGCUCUAAGACUGCUUUCAAGUACUGUGAGGCCCAAGAUCAAACAUUUCAGAUAAGCUUCUCCCACAGUUGAUGUUAUGAACACCUCACAUCAGGGAGCUGCCUUUUUGGCAUAUAUCAAAAAUAUUUUUGUUGUACCAUUUCUGUGUCAAGUUCAGUCAACAAGGGCAUAAAGACAGUGUUUGUGGAUGGCUAACUGCCCAGUUAUAGAAGUCAUCUUCACUGACGAAUGACCAGACUUGGAUAAUCUGUGAAUUAUGAUUGAAGUCUAGAAAAUUAUGCAUGGGAUAGAAAAUGCUGACAGAGAGAAAUUUUUCUCUCUUUCUCACAAUACUAGAACCAGGGGGCAUACAUGGAAAAUGCUGGGGGGAAGA